UGGGGAAUAUUGGACAAUGGGCGCAAGCCUGAUCCAGCCAUGCCGCGUGGGUGAUGAAGGCCCUAGGGUUGUAAAGCCCUUUCGGCGGGGAAGAUAAUGACGGUACCCGCAGAAGAAGCCCCGGCUAACUUCGUGCCAGCAGCCGCGGUAAUACGAAGGGGGCUAGCGUUGCUCGGAAUCACUGGGCGUAAAGCGCACGUAGGCGGACUCUUAAGUCGGGGGUGAAAUCCUGGAGCUCAACUCCAGAACUGCCUUCGAUACUGAGAGCCUUGAGUCCGGGAGAGGUGAGUGGAACUGCGAGUGUAGAGGUGAAAUUCGUAGAUAUUCGCAAGAACACCAGUGGCGAAGGCGGCUCACUGGCCCGGUACUGACGCUGAGGUGCGAAAGCGUGGGGAGCAAACAGGAUUAGGAUACCCUGGUAGUCCACGCCGUAAACGAUGGAUGCUAGCGUGGCAGGCUUGCCUGUCAGUGGCGCAGCUAACG
rnacentral:rRNA from 1 species